GCUUAAUUAUUGAAAUGAUGUUUUUUAUUUUCUCAUUGUACUUUAGUUAAGUAUUUAUUUUAAUCUAUUUGUUUAAUCAACAUACUUUACUCCAAGGCUCAACAAACCAUUCAGGACACGGAUUAAUGUUACAAAGACGCUCUUUUGGGGGUUCAGGCGAUGGACAGAGAUAAUCAGGCGUUUGAACUAGAGAAUGGUUUGUCUUUUUUUGUAUACAGAAGAUAGAUCGAUAUUGAUAUCCUGUACCGCAACGUUUUCCAAUCCAUUGCCACCAAGGAGAGUUGAAGAGGAAAGAUUAAGAUGCCAAAUCAAGGAAGGAAAAGAAAGCAUGGAAAUCAGAAGGUAAAUUAAAACGCAAAAGAAGAAGAUUGGAAAAGACCAAAAGAAAAGGAGGAAAAAAGUGUCGAUCAGUGAUGCAAAACAUGAUCAUCAUAUUUCAGUUAACUCCUUGGAUGAAACAUGAAAAGAAGAGAAAGAAGAGGCCAAAGAAAGACUAUGCUGUUGAUAGGUUUCCCUCUGGAUAUUUAAUACACCGACUUUGUACAGAAUUAACCCUCAAAAAAGAGCAACAUAAUAUUUUGACAAGAUCUGGUUUAGGAUAAUCAACUUGAUGAUCAUCACACAAUCCAAUAUCAACUGGAAGACUUUGACCAACUUGAACACAAAUGGAUUGGGAAAUAUGAGAACUUAAAGGACCAACCAGGUUUAAGAAUCGAUUAUCCAGGUUGCGCUGAUUUAGCUAAAUAAAGAAAAAGAACAAAUAGAAAGAGGAUUGUUUAUUAUCAUCAUCAUCUAAAGCAACAACAAGUACACAUCAAUAAUAAUAAUAAUCAUGGUUAAGCAAAAAAACAUCGAUAAUCAGUGUUCAACUAGAAAAAAAGCCAAGAUUAAGUUACCAGGGGUUAAUAGGAGGUGGUGCUGGUGCUGGUGGCUUCGCUUAUCCUUUUUCUUCUCUCAACCUUCAUGGGUUUCAUCAUUUUUCUCUUCAUUUUUAACUACGGCUUACACUGGUUUUAUUUAGAAAGUUAUAAACUUGCUAAGAUUGAUAUUCGGUUGGUGUAAUCGUUUCAACUCGCACUUACAAUAAAUUGUGCUCAAGAUUAUUGAUUUUACCCUUUCCUGUCGAUGUAGAGUUGUUAUAAACGGACAAAUUAAAGUUACCUUCUUUGAAGUUAACAUGUUUACUUUGGAUAAAUACGAAAUUCAUUACGAUGGUUGAACUUUGUACUUAAAAGGGCUUCUUUCCUGUUGAUUAAUUCCUAGCAUAGAUAUUUUAUAAACAAUAUGGAUUCCAUCUUAAUUAACUUUAAAUAAUUAAGGUUUAUAUGGUAGUUAACAGAAUAACUAACGAAGGUUGGCUUGCAGGAAGCAAAAAUCUCUGUGGUUUUAUUAUACGCAUUGGUAACUUUUACCUCUCAUUGGAUUUCAAUGGAUUUUUGUUGCAAAAACAUUAUCACCAUCACUAUCAACAUCACCAUCGCCAUCACCAUCAUCAUCAUCAUCUACAACAACAAAAACAACAGCUACAAAAGAAAAAAGAAUAGAAGAGGAAAAAAAGGAAAAGAGGAAAAGUCAUGUCAACAAGGAUAAACUCAUCUUCAUCUUCAUCCAUCUUGCUCGUCUCAUCUCUCUUAAGUAAGGAGAUUUUUACCGGGAAAGUGUAAAAAGACUGACAAGGUUUUUGGAUGUUUUUAUCAGUAUCUAACACCAUUAAACUCACAGUUAAGAGCAAUCAUGUCGAUGAUUGGUGAACAAGGAUGAAACAAGGUGCAAUACACUUAACUCCUGACAACAAACAACCGAUUGGAUUCUCAUUGAUUAAACAUAUUGAUCAAAUGUACAAUCAAUGAAUAAAUUUACCUGGAUUUCUGGUUAUUUUAUACAACUAUCACUAGACUUGGAUUUAGUAACUGAUGUCCGUUUACCAAUUGAUGAGUGAAUCAAUGGAUAUUUAUAUAUUACAUGGUUAACACUAAUGAGGAUGAACAACAAUUAAGUUAUGGCAUCAAAUUGGAUUGAAUCUUGUAACCGUAACAUCAAUUAAUAUCAACUUUAAACUUUUAACUCUAUCAAUCUUUGGAUGCACUCUUGAUGUGAUUUAAAAGAGUAAUAAGUUAACCCAAGUUAACCAUUGAAAGAUGAAGAUAAUUUGUUGAAAUGUUUCAACAAAUAUGUGAUUACUUAAAGAUAAAGAGGAAAGAUGCGUUUCAACUCGCUUCUAUUUUUACCAGCGAUGUAAUAUUAUGAUGGAAUUGACAAGGAAAGGAGGAAAAGUUGAAAAACUGAAGAUGAACUUGAAGGAAAUAUUUAUGUUACUCUUAUAAAAAAGAUAGCCAUUUUAAAGACUAAUGGAUAAUGUUUUAACCUGUCAUUGGGCCAGUUAUUGCCUCGUUUAUCUUACCAUUUCAUCUUUAAGAUGUUACUAUUAUUAUCAUCAUUAUUAUUAUUGAUAUAAGUAGUAGUAAUAUCAUCAUCAUUAUUAGUAGUUACCCAAACCAUUUCAAUAAUAUUACAGAAUGCAUUUUAACACGUACAGAAAAUCAACAGCAACUUAACCGUUUUUUAUCAUGUUGAGUAUUUUUUUUAUGGUAACAAUAUUAUUACAUUUUACCAUUAUAAAAAUGUAUAUAAAGAUAAAUUUAAAAACACUUUUCAUAGCAAUAAUAUUGACAAAUAACGAUAGUCUUAACUAGAAGAGUUUACUCAAUAUCUUGACCAAUAAUCAGAGUUUAAUUAGCCAUUAAAAUGAUUACAUUUUAGGAUUGGUGUAUGAUUAUUGUUGAUGAUUACAUUGCACCUCAAGUUUUUAAUGUGUUGAGAAUCUUCAAAAUCAUCUGUUCGCCAAUUUUUGUGGUUAAUGUUUCAAAUCAACAAUUUUAUGCUCAAAUAUCUAUUUUUAAUUAAGUCUCUCUAACAAUAAUCAAUAAUACAUUUGAUCAACUUCACAAUCAAUUUGAUAUUCAGUAUAACAUUGUAAAGUGUAUUUUAUGGCAGUAUUUCAAUAGGCUUUUCCAGAUCCUCCUAAAAACUAGACACCAAUGUUUGAUUACCAAUGUAAUAGACCAAUAUUUAAAGGUUAGUUUAAUUGGAUUGACUGUUUAAAAUGAAAAAUGUAAUUAACUUUUUUUUCGUUGAAAACUAACCUUCUUUUCCUCAUUUUAACUGCUAUUAGUGAACAAUAAACAAUUGUGCUCAAAUAACUAAUCAAGGUUGCCAUCUAAAUAUUUCCAAUCAAACCCAAACACCUCUAUUAUCAACGUUUAAUAUCAUAAUUAAAAGUUAAUUGUAAUACACUUUUAUUAGCUCUUUUCACCUUUCAUAUUUUAGCUAAUCAAUCAUGAGGAUUAAUGUUUCAUCUGAUGAACUACAUAAUCCUUAACAGCAAUGAAAAGGUUGAUUAUCAUUUUUAACUAACUGUGUUCAAUAAUGAUCAACUCAAUUCCAUUGAUUGUAGUUUAAUCUUAUGAUUAAAAAUAAACUAACCUUGAACUGCACCUAAAAA